rnacentral:lncRNA from 1 species
GAGAUGGAGCCUCGCUCUGUUGCCCAGGCUGGAGUGCAGGGGCAUGAUCUCGGCUCACUGCAACCUCCGCCUCCUGGAUUCAAGCGAUUCUCCUGCCUCAGCCUCCUGAGUAGCUGGGAUUACAGGCAUGUGCCACCAUCCCUGGCUAGUUUUUGUAUUUUUAGUAGAGACGGGGUUUCACCAUGUUGGUCAGGCUGGUUUUUUUUUUGGAGAUGGAGUUUUGCUCUUGUUGCCGCCCAGGCUGGAGUGCAAUGGCACGACUCACUGCAACCUCCGCCUCUUGAGUUCAAGUGAUUCUCUGGCCUCAGCCUCCUGAGUAGCUGGGAUUACAGGGGCAUACCACCAUGCCUGGCUAAUUUUGUAUUUUUAGUAGAGACAGGGUUUCACCAUGUUGGUCAGGCUGGUCUUGAACUCCUGACCUUAGGUGAUCCACCCACCACAGCCUCCCAAAGUGCUGGGAUUACAGGUGUGAGCCACUGUGGCCAGCUGAGAGCAUAUUUUCUAAAAACCUAACUUUCUUUAUGAAAUGGAAAUUUAAUAUAAAGCAAUUUAUUUACUUUUCAUGUAGUGGAGAUUCCAUUAAAAAAUGCCAGAAUGCUACCACCCACCACCAUCUCAAACCUGAGCACUAGUCUUGAGUAAAAUGAAUGUCACAUAGCUUUAAUUAUUUAAUUUUUUUUUUUUCUUCAGACAGAGUCUUGCUCUGUCACCCAGGCUGGAGUGCAGUGGCCCUGGGUGACAGAGGGAGACUCUGUCUCAAAAACAAACAAACAAA